rnacentral:rRNA from 1 species
UACGUAGGGUGCAAGCGUUGUCCGGAAUCAUUGGGCGUAAAGCGCGUGUAGGCGGUCCGAUAAGUCCGCUGUGAAAGUCAAGGGCUCAACCCUUGAAUGCCGGUGGAUACUGCAGGGCUAGAGUCCGGAAGAGGCGAGUGGAAUUCCUGGUGUAGCGGUGAAAUGCGCAGAUAUCAGGAGGAACACCGAUGGCGAAGGCAGCUCGCUGGGACGGUACUGACGCUGAGGCGCGAAGGCGUGGGGAGCAAACAGG